rnacentral:rRNA from 1 species
CCUACGGGGGGCUGCAGUAGGGAAUAUUGCUCAAUGGGGGAAACCCUGAAGCAGCAACGCCGCGUGGAGGAUGAAGGUUUUAGGAUUGUAAACUCCUUUUGUUAGAGAAGAUUAUGACGGUAUCUAACGAAUAAGCACCGGCUAACUCCGUGCCAGCAGCCGCGGUAAUACGGAGGGUGCAAGCGUUACUCGGAAUCACUGGGCGGAAAGAGUGUGUAGGCGGGGUAAUAAGUCAGAUGUGAAAUCCUGUAGCUUAACUAUAAAACUGCAAUUGAAACUGGUACUCUUGAGUGUAGGAGAGGUAGGUGGAAUUCGUGGUGUAGCGGUGAAAUGCGUAGAGAGCACGAAGAAUACUCAUUGCGAAGGCGACCUACUAAAACAUUACUGACACUGAUGCACGAAAGCGUGGGGAGCAAACAGGAUUAGAUACCCUAGUAGUC